CACACAUAGAGCAUUUGUGCAGAGACUAAAAGAUUGAUCUGAGAAACCACUUCCUGGGAUGAAAUGAAAGCCAGGCAGAGAAUCCCAUACCCAAAUAUAAUCUAAAGGGGUUAAACUGAGAAAAAGAACACCGGUGAGACAAAGGGAUUUAAACUGGAGGAACAAGGAAAGAAAAAGUGCAUUCCUACUUACCUCAAGGGUUCUGUGCAAUGAAGUAGAAAAAGAACAGAAAGAAUUUCAG
rnacentral:lncRNA from 1 species